UCCUGUCCCUCAUUUACGAACGACACACGGAUGCCAGGAUGGACGGGUCGUACUCCUAUUUAACCUCACCCUCACAAAAUUACACGAGAGCGGGGUGACCAAACUCGGUCCUGGAGGGCCACUGUCCUGCAGAGUUUAGUUCCAGCUUGCCUCAACACACCUGCUUAAAAAAAAACCUUUUUUGAAUAAAAUCGUCCAUGGUGAAAAGUGCGAAGGACUCCUAUUAGCAGAUGAAUAGCCUCAAAAAGCUCUACUAAGACUGGAUGACCCGUCAGCCACAGUCAAAUUCACGUGACCAGAUGUGGAGGUGUUCUGUCCAUCUCCAUUUGCUUUUUCCUCUUCUUGGUGUUUCCAGAAUGAGAAACCCAGCAUCUGUGGCUGCUGCAACAGUCUUGUUUGCCUUCUGUAGUUUCUGGCGUUUCGAGCUGCUUUGAUAUGUGGAUGGUAAAGUAAAGCAGGCCGUCCUGACUAAAAUAUUGAUUUUAAAUAAUAAAAUACAUAAAAAGUACACAUUGUCCCUUUAAUGUAGUAAAAGCACUUAUUUGCACACUUAUUCUAGUUAAGCUAUUUUAAACACUGUAAGAGGGGCAAAUUGCUAAACCACACACACACACACCACAGCUUCAUAACACUUUACUGUAGACAUUAUAAUAUUACUGCAACAAGAGUCCAAUCCAGUUAUAACCAGAUUAAUGUUCUUAUUAGAUGGAGGCUUUCUGUUAUCCUAUCCACAACCCUAAAACACAGAAACACUGCUAGCACACUGUCAAUAAAGCCCUCGCUCUUUCUUGGGAAGGAAUUAAGGGAUAAGAGAAGCACUCGUUUAUGGAAAGACAUGCACACAUAAAGAUUUCCCAUGAAAUCCAUGGCUGUUUGUAUCUUAAACAUCUCUCCUCUGAAAUUGGCCCUCAUGAAUCAAGCAGCUGUACUGAUAUACUAGUUUCUAGAGCAGCACUUUGUUUUGUUUUGUCAUGUCGCUAUAAUUCUAUCUAUCUAUCUAUCUAUCUAUCUAUCUAUCUCGUUCAGUCUAAAAUGGUUUCAUAAAAAAGACAAAAAAGUUUUACAGGUUUCUCAGUCACUUUUCUCGAAUCGUUUUUAGCAUUUGCAAACCAGGUGCAUUUCACGAAACAAUUCGUACAAACGGCACCACACUAUGGACUACCUGCAAAAGCUUAUAAAUUGCUCAAAAUCCGUAGUUUAUCUCUCAAAAGUAAGUAUUUACUUUUGCAAAAUGAUGAGUCCUUGUGUCAUUGUUCCCAAACAAGAUAGUCAAAAUGUUUAGCCACGUUGUCAAUAUAACAGUGUACUCUGUCAGUAUUUUAAGAUGUAAACUAUGGCUAUGAUUAAGACUGCACUUUUUCUGUAUGGCAUUAUAUACAUUUAACAGUACAAAUUGACACAUUACUGUUUAUGGUAUAUUGAUUGCAAUUUGCAAGAGACUUUACAGGACAGGAUUUAGUGUUGGUCUGUUCACAAAUUACUUUACAAUGUCAUUGUGAUAUAUAAAGAAAAAAUCAAGACAUACAUGUUGUGUUUGUGUGGUAUAGUAUCUGUAUAAAAUAUAUUUACUAUAU